rnacentral:rRNA from 1 species
CAGAGGGGGCAAGCGUUAUUCGGAAUUAUUGGGCGUAAAGGGCGCGUAGGCGGCUUUUCAAGUGACGGGUGAAAUCCCUCGGCUUAACCGAGGAACUGCCUGUCAGACUGGAAGGCUUGAGACCGGGAGAGGUGAGUGGAAUUCCCAGUGUAGCGGUGAAAUGCGUAGAUAUUGGGAGGAACACCAGUGGCGAAGGCGGCUCACUGGACCGGUACUGACGCUGAGGCGCGAAAGCGUGGGGAGCAAACAGGAUUAGAUACCCUGGUAGUCCACGCCGUAAACGAUGAGUGCUUGGUGUAGCGGGUAUCGACCCCUGCUGUGCCGAAGUCAACACAUUAAGCACUCCGCCUGGGGAGUACGGUCGCAAGACUG